UUUGCAACAAGACGCGUUUCAUGAGUGCUGACAGUCAAUUUUAUUAAUUUUUCGUUAAAAACAACCGACAGCGAUGGCGGCGAGUUUGAAAAAGAUGCUGUUUACGACCAUCACAGCACAUCCCACAGGACGUUUGAGAGCGAGAAUCGAAGACGCUAUUAUUUAUGCAGCCGUAUAAGCUCUAAGAAGAGAGUUUUGUAAGACUUAGCCGGUCGCCCUGCAAUUUCUAUAACUUAUUAUCAAUUUAUUAUUUAUCAACGAUUCUAUUUAGGUUUAUUGUAAAUACUUAUUUAUAAUUAAGUAUAGAUAGAUAAGAAAGUAAUUAAGAGGGCAAAUAAUUGUUCUUUUACAAAAAGAAAAACAUCUAUACCUAGAGCUUUUCAUAAGAAAGUUUUAGUAUUAGGUAGAAAAUAUUUUUUUAUACAAUAGGCAUAUUUAUCAUUUUAAAUGUAUUUAGGUACGUAGGUCAGCCUCUACUAUUAAUUUAAUAAGAACAAUAUAAAAUCGUAAAGUGGAGAACUAUAA